GAAGGCUUUUUACCUUCUGGAGGUGGACCGGGUCCACGUGCUGGUUCCCACAGACAAACGGGUUCAAACCCCAAACAGCGGUUCGUCCCAGUAAGCGUCACGUGAAGCUCACCUGAGAACCGGAAAUCCGCCGAACAUCCACGAGGAGCCCAGAACGACACCUGAAGCUUAACGGACUAGUCCUUCUGUCGGGAGGCAGGCCCCAAAAAAUCUCUGAAAUGACAAAAACACAAAGGUCAGUUCUUUAAAUGUUCAUUUUCAUCUGAAAACAUCUUGAGCUUUAAGGUGACGUCAUAC
ensembl:lncRNA